CCUCACUCUCUCUAAAGCCUUGAUUUCACUCUCUCUCUCUCUCUCUCUCUCGCUUCAAACCCCUUCGUUUCUCUCGCUUCAAACCUUCGUUUAUUCGAUUAAUCUGCAAGCCUUCUCUUCGAUUCACCCUUCGUUUAUUCGAUUCAAGUAUUCGUAGAUCGUCGAUUCGCAGAUCAGAAUGUUAAGUGUUGAUCAGUCUCAUCUAUAUCUUCUCACAUUCAAGUUCGAUUGAAGAUGAUACUUACUAAUGGAAUCAUUCGAUUCAGGUGAUUUCGAAGUUCUACCUUCUUCAGCUCGGUGAUUCAAUCUCAGAUUCAUUAGGCGAUUUCGAAGUUCUCUCUCGAUUUCAAAGCUCGGCGAUUCAAUUUCAGAUUCAUCCGGUGAGGAGAGUGAGCACCAUCAUCUACUAAGGUGAGCACGUUCCCAUCAGAAAAUCUCAAGUUCUCUCUCUCUCUCUCUCUCUCUCUCUCUCUCUCUCUCAUGUUUUCCUUCCCGUCAAUUCUUCUCCUAGGGUUUUCAAUCAAUGUUUUGAAGAAGUUUAAUCUCGGUUUUUUUGUUGAUCAGUUUGUAUUGAUCAAUCAGUGUUUUACACAUCUCAUUUAUUUUUCCCCAGAUCACCAGAACUGAUUUUUCAAUCAGUAUUCUUUAUUUUUCGCUCUCUAUUUUUUUAUUACCCUGUUUUAAACCCUAAAUUAGCAUCAACAAUAUUAGCCUGUUUUUUUCCUAUGCUGAUCUGAUUUUUGGUCCCAAUUCUGAUGUAUGCACAUAUUAUACUUUUCUCAAUGGCAUUGUUGUUAGGGUUGCAAAGUU